rnacentral:rRNA from 1 species
AGAGUUUGAUCCUGGCUCAGAACUAACGCUGGCGGCGCGUCUUAAACAUGCAAGUCGUACGAGAACCCCUGUGCUUGCAUAGGGGGGAGAGUGGCGAACGGGUGAGUAACACGUGGAUAAUCUGCCUUCAGGAUUGGGAUAACUGUGGGAAACCGCAGCUAAUACCGAAUAAGAUGGUAGCUGCACAUGCAGCAGCCAUUAAGGGUGGGGACCUUCGGGCCUACCACCUGAAGAUGAGUCCGCGUCCCAUUAGCUUGUUGGUGGGGUAACGGCCUACCAAGGCUGCGAUGGGUAGCCGGCCUGAGAGGGUGAACGGCCACAUUGGGACUGAGAUACGGCCCAGACUUCUACGGAAGGCAGCAGUUAAGAAUCUUGCGCAAUGGGCGAAAGCCUGACGCAGCGACGCCGCGUGGACGAUGAAGGCCUUCGGGUUGUAAAGUCCGGCAAACAGGGAAGAAUAAGUUUCGUUGAAUAAGCGGAACGAUGACGGUACCUGUCUAAAGCCCCGGCUAACUACGUGCCAGCAGCCGCGGUAAUACGUAUGGGGCGAGCGUUGUUCGGAAUUAUUGAGCAUAAAGGGCGUCUAGGCGGGGGACUAAGUUAGGUGUGAAAGCCAUGGGCUCAACCCGUGAAUUGCAUCUAAAACUGGUUCUCUUGAGUUCGGGAGAGGAGUGCGGAAUUCCUGGUGUAGCGGUGAAAUGCGUAGAUAUCAGAAGAACACCAGUGGCGAAGCGGCACUCUGGGCCUAGAACUGACGCUGAAGCGCGAAAGCGUGGGGAGCGAACGGGAUU